UUUUUUUUUUUUUUCAAAAUGCUUUUACGUUGCUUCAGAACUGUUUAGAACCCUAGGGGUGUUGCUUCAAAACUCAGACGAAUUGAGAGUAGAGGGAACACGACGAGGAGAGGAGAGGCAGCGGUGAGGCAAGGGGAAACGACGGCGACGACAGCGAAACGACAGCGGCGAGGAUCAUGUCAAUGUCAAUGGGUUCAAACGUUGAUGCUGGAUAUUUGCAAAAUCAGAGAUGCAAUUGUG